AUGGGUAUGCUGAAAUUGGUAGACAGGUCCCGCUUAGGACGGGGUGAAAUUAAUUCAUAUAAGUUCGAGUCUUAUUACCCAUA
rfam:Stemphylium lycopersici strain CIDEFI 216 C27984, whole genome shotgun sequence.